UUUCCCCUGACGGUGGAGCCCACGUUUUAUCUCCAACCUUCAGCCAGAAGUCUAUGCACGACACGGAAACAAACUGGAAACAAGUUCCACAAAAAUCUCACCAAAGCUGUUGAAUUUGCCACGGAUUUUUGCGCCUAUAUAUACCCCCAUAUAUCCUCUGUAUAUUGACCCUAAAAUCCUCAAUUUUUGCGCCGCCAGGCUGCGCGAAUUUCUCGCCGGAGUUCGAUGCUGCCGCCGCCAUUGGAGCUCAUAACCGGAGGGCACUAGGACGCGGAGAAAGCAUCGCCGGAGUUCAUCGCUGCCCGGGCCGCUCCAGCCGCCCGUCACCGCUGUUCGAGGAAGACGCAAAUACCUCCGAGCACGCCACCUUGACAGCCACGUCCAGCCGCACCUCGUUCACCAACUCGCCGCAGUCGUAAACCAUCCAAAGACGCCAAGAAGCAUCGCGUCCGAGCCGUCCUACCACCACCUCGGGCCGUCUGUGCCAUUAUCGUGCGGUGUGUAACGUCUGUUCUUGCAAAGAGAGUGCGAACGACAACGACAAAUAAGGCAAGUUGAACUUUUGAUCAUAACAUAUCUAUUGUUUUUCUAUACGUGUAGUAUGAUUUUAGUACAAGUACAUGUGUAGGAUUGUGACUGAUGAAUUGUGUGCUAUUGCUAUUAAACCCGGCUUAGGAUAGCCAUAUGUUUUUAUGAUUGGAUUCAUUUGUAGUCAACCUAUGUUUGAUUGCUUGGAUAUGCUUGCUUUAUAUGUGAGUGGAAUAUCAUGUCAUGGGUAUGUAUUAGUUGAAAGGUUAGUUUUGAGUUGACAAAACAAUUACUGGAUGAAUUGGGGCGGAUAUGAAUAGUACUUGAGAAGGUUGUAGGUCGACCGACAUAGUAAGGGCUUUGAUCCUGACUUACUGACAUGUAUAGGUCGAGUGGCAUGGUAAGGGCGUUGAGCCUGACUUACUAACAUGUACACUGGUGGUGGCAUGGUAAGGGUAUUGAGCCUGACUUGCUGACAUGUACACUAGUGGAAUGGAGAUUGGCAUGGCAAGGGCAUUGAGCCUGACUUACUGACAUGAGCAAUGAAGAAAAGGAGAUUAGCAUGAUAGGGGCCCCGAGCUUGGCCUACUCACAUGUGCACUAUAGGAGUUCGGAGAUUAAAACCGCUGGGAUAAAAACUAGGAUGAUAAUAUGAUUGCUUUGUGCCAAAUAAAAGUUUGAACUCUCGCCUUGAAAAUGUAUUUGAUAGGUUCACCGCCUUCGUGUAGCAUCCAUGGAA